GAUGAACGCUGGCGGCGUGCUUAACACAUGCAAGUCGAACGAUGAAGCCCAGCUUGCUGGGUGGAUUAGUGGCGAACGGGUGAGUAACACGUGAGUAACCUGCCCUUAACUCUGGGAUAAGCCUGGGAAACUGGGUCUAAUACCGGAUAGGAGCGUCCACCGCAUGGUGGGUGUUGGAAAGAUUUAUCGGUUUUGGAUGGACUCGCGGCCUAUCAGCUUGUUGGUGAGGUAAUGGCUCACCAAGGCGACGACGGGUAGCCGGCCUGAGAGGGUGACCGGCCACACUGGGACUGAGACACGGCCCAGACUCCUACGGGAGGCAGCAGUGGGGAAUAUUGCUCAAUGGGCGCAAGCCUGAUGCAGCGACGCCGCGUGAGGGAUGACGGCCUUCGGGUUGUAAACCUCUUUCAGUAGGGAAGAAGCGAAAGUGACGGUACCUGCAGAAGAUGCACCGGCUAACUACGUG
rnacentral:rRNA from 1 species